rnacentral:rRNA from 1 species
UACGGAGGGUGCAAGCGUUAUCCGGAUUCACUGGGUUUAAAGGGUGCGUAGGUGGUCUGUUAAGUCAGCGGUGAAAGCCUGGAGCUCAACUCCAGAAUUGCCAUUGAUACUGACGGACUUGAAUCAAGUUGAGGUGGAUGGAAUAUUACAUGUAGCGGUGAAAUGCUUAGAUAUGUAAUAGAACACCAAUUGCGAAGGCAGUUCACUAAGCUUGACAUUGACACUGAGGCACGAAAGCGUGGGGAUCAAACAGG